AGUCAGGUAGUGCAAUCCAGGCAUUGACCACUCUGUUGCUGAAGUCGUACUUUCUUCAAUCAAGUUUGGAGCAGUUUACAUUGAGUUUGUAUCUGUUGUGUGCUCUUGUAUUGUUGCGGUUAAAGCUGAUGUAGUCAUUGACUGGUAGGACCUUGUAGCAGACAAUUUUGUGUACUAAGUUUAGGUCAGACUGUAGGCGGC